CCUACGCCGCCGUCCGCCAGAAACGCAGUGUAUACGCGAUUCAUAUCAUACCGGCCGAUCCGGUGAUGCUUUGCUGUUGCUAGAUAAUAGUAAUAAUAAUAAUAACCGUUUUCUUGUCUGUGCCGACUAAAUUGUCAUCCGUGUCACCCAGCGGGUAACCCGCGAAUAAACGAAAAUAAACAAAACGAAAAACUAGACGUUCGUACCGAAAAUACCUAAAAACCCACAUUUUACCCCCGUAGUGGUUGAAUUUUCAAAAACCCUUUCUAGCGGGACGCUUACGUCACAAUAGCUAUCUGCGCGUGGUUUGUGCUAGGCGGCGGUGAAUCAGUCAGUCAGAACGUGUUAUUAUACAUAAAGAAGAUAAUACGUAUCCAUAUACCGGCUAUCGGUAUAAAUACGUCAUAUCCGGGCGAAAACCAAAAACGAGCGUGGAGAAAAAUAUAGAAAAAGACGCGUCGUCGUAACACGAUGCAAUGUGGACCCGGGGAAAUGCAAGCGAUGACGGAUAUUCGAUGUUUAUAAUAUACAGCAAUAAUAACGUAAUGUUGUUAUUAUUAUUAUUAUUAUAUUUUUGCUCGUUUUGUAAUUAAUAACUCGCACAGGGGUCUCGGCCGUAUAGACGUCAACCCUAGCGCCGCGAGAGGGGUCAGGCUAUUUAUCUUCUUUCCGCGCGCGUGCACACUAGAAAGGAUUUCGGUAUUUUAUUUUAGUUUUUUUUUUUUUUUUUUUUUUUUUUUAAGUGGGAGUGCGUUUUGAAGAAAUAAACACAGUUACCUAGGUGCAUUCGUCUUGUAUAAUAUUAUAUAUACGCGGACCAGAUGACGGUUCUGAACGGCGAGAGCAGUUAUAAAACGGCAAACGUUAUCAAUCAAUCUUCUUCGUCUUUAUUAUUAUUACUUUUUUUUUGUCUACCUUUAAUCUUCCCGGACUAUACACCUACGCGACUACUGUGUCUUUUUUUUUUCUCCCAUCACGUUGACUUCUAUGAAAAUCAUGUUAAAUAAUAAUGACACCGUUAUUUCCGUAAACAUUCCCGGUUUCCCAACAUUUUUCCUGGUUUUUCCCAAUUAAUAAAAAACACGGAACUAUCAAAAACGGCUUUUUAACUCACAAACUAAAUAAAAUUGCAUUUUAGAAAAGUUGUUACUCUUAAAAUUUGAAGCAAUGUUUCCGGUAGAAAACAUAAGUAAUUAACUCUAGGUGAGUAAGUCUUUUUAGCCUUACGGAAGAUUGUAAUACAGGCGAUUAUCUGUUACGGAGCGUUAAAUCGUAACUGGAACAAAACCGACGAUUGUAAUACUGGCCCUAAAUCGUAUACAUUUAAUAUGGUAAAAUGGUAACGUCGUAAAUACGUCGUCCAUUUCUCCCAAAAUAAACACACUUACACACACAUCGUAAUAAAACUAAUACGGCUAGAAUCUAAAAAUCUAGAAAUUAUUAAACGAUCGUGAACCAAAGGUUUGUCCGCCGUAGCAAUAAAAGGACUAGUUUAAAAAAUGUAUGUUUAACCGAGUAUACACUAUAGUUCAUACAUCGUAAUUGAACUGUUACGAACAAGGCAUUUUUUUUUUUAGUGAAUAUCCACCACGUGACCAUUGUUCUCUCCCCACCCAUUAAAAAAAUAUCCACGAGCAGAUAUACCAAACCUUUCACUUAACUUUUAAACUUUUCCCAGUGGUUUCCACGAAAAUAUAAUAUUUAAGAAUCUAUUAAUUCAAUAAUAAACCACGUAUUUUCUAGCGGACAGUGAUGGACUCGCUGUAAGUAAAAUCCUAUUGAACUACUCUGUUAGACGUUCAAUGGAUUUUACUGUGUCCAUUUGGACGUAGAAAACCUCCUUAAAAAAUAUCCUGAUUUAUUAUGAACUUUUCGUAACAGUUAAUUUGCACCCGAACUUAUUGAAUCAUCGAGAUAAAUUUUAUAUUGGUAUAAGAUAUAAUACAGGUAUUCAAAUAUUAUGAAAUCAUUUUAAAUUUACGUUGCUAUUCCACAGCGAAUAAUAUCUCGGAAACCUUAAAAUUAAUUUUAACAAAAACAACUAUCGAGAUUUUCAAUUUUGUUCCGUAAUAAUAAUGCGUCAACUACCUAAAGUUAUACCUACAUACCAAGUGUCUUUUUAAAAGCGAUUUUCCAUUUGGUGUGCGUUUAACGAGGAGUAAACUUUUUUUCAGACAAAACGUUUA